AAAUUUUAAAUUAAUGAACCUCAGCUACUCUCAAGACCUGAUCAGGAUUCCGGACUUGUCUAGUAUUGCCCCAAAUCUCGAGUUUUUAUAUUUGAAUGACUGUUAUAGGUUGGCUGAAAUUCCCUCUCUUCAAAAUCUAAGUAAUCUUGUUGAACUUCGUAUGAGUUCUAGCCAAGUCAAACAACCGUUUAGUGGAGAUAAGCCUCUUGGAAAGUUGAAAUUAAUGGACCUCAGCUACACUAGUAACCUGAUCGGGAUUCCGGACUUGUCUAGUAUUGCCCCAAAUCUCGAGUUUUUAUAUUUGACUGGAUGUUGGAGUUUGGUUGAAAUUCCCUCUCUUCAAAAUCCUCUUCGAAAUUUGAAAUUAAUGGACCUCAGCUUCUCUCAUCAACUGAUCAGGAUUCCAGACUUGUCUAGUAUUGCCCCAAAUCUCGAGUUUUUACAUUUGAGACGAUGUACGAGUUUGGUUGAAAUUCCCUCUCUUCAAAAUCUGAGCAAGCUUACUGAACUUAAUCUCAGUAAAUGUUCAAGACUCGUGACUAUUCCAAGCAACUUAGGCGAGUUGAAAUGUCUUGAAAAGUUAUCUCUCUAUAAAUGCUCAAAUUUAGAAAGUCUUCCAGAAAGCAUCAAACAACUUUCGAAGUUGAAAGAGUUUGAUUUAGCCCGUUGCAAGAGUCUUAAAAGUUUACCAGAGCUUCCAUCAUGCUUAGAAUACUUAGAUGCAAGUAAUUGCCCCUCUUUGGAAUCUGCAUCAAUUUCUUUCCAUUUCUUAGAACAUGAAGAUGAAAAUGAAGAAGCAGAAAAAAGUGAAGAUGAAAAUAAAGAAGCAAAAAAAAGUGAAUUUCAAGAUUGCAAAUUUCUUGGUUUUAUUGAUUGCGUCAAUUUGAAUAAGAAAGUGAUGGAGGAUGUUUUUAGAGCGCAUCUGUCGGGUCAGAAAGUUAUGCUAUUUAUGGCAGGAGGUGAAGUGCCAGAAGGGAUGAGAUAUAAGAACAAAAUUGGAUCCUCGCUUUCAUUCAAAAUUGACCUUCGUCACUUAAUUGCCUUCUCUUUCUGCAUUGUUACUCAUUUUAAACAUUAUGGUUAUUUACCUGAAAGAUUUGAAUGUGGAGUGGAUUUCAUAUAUGAGUCUGGAAAUAGGCAGGAACAUAAUAAAUUCACCUUAUUUAACGGUGAGGAUUUUGCCAAUUGGGAUCAUUUUUGUAAAGGUCCGUACUGUUCGGGCUCAUCACACGUGUUGCUUUCAUUCAAUGGAUUGAGGAGGCGUUUUGAUGAAGAGUGUUUGGUUAAGGCCUCGUUUUGCUUCAUCACUCUUGGUCGCGUGUAUGAGGAGCGAAUUAUGGAUUGUGGGGUCCAUCCUAUAUAUAGUAGAAAUAAAAGGAGAAGCACAAAUGAAGAGCAUCAGGAUGACGAGCAACCCCAUCAGCAUCAGGAUGACGAGAAAGGCGAACCUCCUCUUCAAAGAUUGGAACAAAUUGAGGACCAAAAUUACAUUUUGAAUCAUGAGAGGAGGAAAAGGAAGAGGAAGAGGAAGAGGAAAAGGACCAAAAUUGGACAUCAAAAUCCAAUAAUAAGCAUUGAAAAAAAACAUGAGGACGACGACGAAGGCGAACCUGAGGAUAAGGAACACAAUGACUUACUGAAUCCGGAGGAGGAUGAGAACCAAAAUGAUAUUUUGAAUCACGAGAGAACGAAAAGGAAGAGGAAGAGGAAGAGGAAAAGCUUUAUCAUCUCCUUAUUUGGUUCUUAACAACCUUCCGCUCCAUACUUGAGAAAGAGAGGGAAGACUAUACAGGAGAAUAAUUAAGCUCAAAUCAGGGGGAAAAACAGGAUGGGAUGGGAGGUGUUUAGUCAGCUUGAAUUGGACAGGGUGAGGAUACAGAACUUCUUUGCUACUACCUGUCCUGCAAAAUGCCUUCAUCCUUCAAAUUUAUCAUCUGUUUGUUAGGCCCUAUCCCUAUAACUUAGAUGAAGUCAACCUAUGAAAUGGGUCAGAAGUGUAAGUUUAUGGCUGUUGAGAAGGGAAUAUCGAAAAAUUUGUCACGCUAUAUAUCUAUGCUAACCCAACUACUAUAGUGGAGUUGGUUUGUCCAUCUCCAUGUAGCCUUCAAGCUCCAAGUUGGUAUUAGUUCCUUUAUCAGGAUGACUGUAAAGAGGCAUGAUCCUCACAUCACAGGACUCGUCAAUAUGUGUUUUGGAUUCUCUUUGCCCCCUCUUUAAGUAUUUGUUAGUGUUGGUGCAUGAUAUUACUACUAGGCUUGGUGGAUUGAACCUGUCGUUUUGGAUUGGACAUGCAGCCCUGACUGCUAGACAAGCUUUAUGUCUUUACGCAUGUAUUGUUCAUAACUGGAACAGUCCUAUCAUGAUUUUUGUUGCUCAUAAUAAGAGUUUCGUAUUAUUUGGUUUGGUGCGAUCGCUGAUCCUGGUUGGUAUUCUUUAUCUUGAUGCAUGGAUGAAAAUGACAGUGAGAAUGAUAAAAGCAAUCUGCAGAGAUCUAUGGGCCUUUUACUUUGAUUAUGAUUACUGGUUUGAUAUUGUUCUUUAAUAACUAAUGUAAUUGGUGUAGUUUUUUAUGUUGAAAUGAUGCUUUUGUAAUUUUCAA